rnacentral:rRNA from 1 species
GACGAACGCUGGCGGCGUGCUUAACACAUGCAAGUCGUACGGUAAGGCCCUUUCGGGGGUACACGAGUGGCGAACGGGUGAGUAACACGUGAGUAACCUGCCCACAACUUUGGGAUAACGCUAGGAAACUGGUGCUAAUACUGGAUAUGUGCUCCUGCUGCAUGGUGGGGGUUGGAAAGCUCCGGCGGUUGUGGAUGGACUCGCGGCCUAUCAGCUUGUUGGUGGGGUAGUAGCCUACCAAGGCGGCGACGGGUAGCCGGCCUGAGAGGGUGACCGGCCACAUUGGGACUGAGAUACGGCCCAGACUCCUACGGGAGGCAGCAGUGGGGAAUAUUGCACAAUGGGCGCAAGCCUGAUGCAGCAACGCCGCGUGCGGGAUGACGGCCUUCGGGUUGUAAACCGCUUGCAGCAGGGACGAAGCUUUUUGUGACGGUACCUGCAGAAGAAGCACCGGCUAACUACGUG